CUACGUGCCAGCAGCCGCGGUAAUACGUAGGGCGCGAGCGUUGUCCGGAAUUAUUGGGCGUAAAGAGCUUGUAGGCGGUUUGUCGCGUCUGCUGUGAAAGGCCGGGGCUUAACUCCGUGUAUUGCAGUGGGUACGGGCAGACUAGAGUGCAGUAGGGGAGACUGGAAUUCCUGGUGUAGCGGUGGAAUGCGCAGAUAUCAGGAGGAACACCGAUGGCGAAGGCAGGUCUCUGGGCUGUAACUGACGCUGAGAAGCGAAAGCAUGGGGAGCGAACAGGAUUAGAUACCCUGGUAGUCCAUGCCGUAAACGUUGGGCACUAGGUGUGGGGGACAUUCCACGUUUUCCGCGCCGUAGCUAACGCAUUAAGUGCCCCGCCUGGGGAGUACGGCCGCAAGGCUAAAACUCAAAGAAAUUGACGGGGGCCCGCACAAGCGGCGGAGCAUGUGGUUUAAUUCGAUGCAACGCGAAGAACCUUACCUACUCUUGAC
rnacentral:rRNA from 1 species